CCUCCGGCUAAAAAGCCAAUCCACCAAGCGCCAACCCAGUGGGGGUUAUCUGGAGUCAUCUCUGUCCUUUGACACGAGGAAAAGGGUCGGGAGACUCGUCUUCUCACAGCGUGAACCUGACCAUCUCAUCCAAUUCAAACAGGAAAAGGGUGAACACGGAGCGAGCGCCCAGCGUCAGGUAAGGAAGUGUUGGGUGGUGGAAGUGCCUUGAAAGUGGAGCCGUUCUGUUAACAAUGAACCACAGUGAGACUUCACCUUCCUGUGCAGCUGUUUGUUGUUCUGGGGCUAAAAAUGCAGAAGUUCUGCUUUAUAAUUCUCUGUCCUGCCUUCUUUCGGUCCUCUUUUCAAAGUGGGAUCAGAGUGAGGAGUUGUGAUAUUAAUAAGCUCCUUGAUCCUCAAAGAAGAAAGUUAUUUGCUUUGGAAAGGAGGAGGUUUUUUUUUUCCUGUUAAAAACGAAGGCCUUUGAAAACUGUCCCAAGUGGUUUUUCAGAUCAUUUCUGAUCUACUGAACUUAGAUUUACCAUGCAGCGUUAAGUCCACUAAGAACAGGAACCACUCGCCGUCACACAAUGUCACAGGAAGACUCAACUCGACACAGGAAGAAGAAACCAAACCUUUUGUUGAAAUGAGGGCAAAGCAGCGCUAAGAUUCUGUCCGUUAGGCUGAAGGUUAUUUUCAACCACGUGUAUCUUUACUGUCUGUUAAACACAUGAGAGCUUCUUAAACAGUUGCCUGCAUCUUUAAUUACGAUGCACAGAUAAACUCCUGCCUGGGACUUUGUAAAAAAAAAAAGGUUCUGUCUCGUUUUUUAAUCUGUUCUAGACUGAACACGUUUGACAUGUAAAUAUAUAAAACUCUUUUUGAAAAAAGCCCACUCUCAGCCGAUUGGUCGGCAGUGGUGGCCUGAUCAGGCUCCACCCACUGACCUGCUUCAAAGCUUCGCAGCUGCAGCAUCAUCAUGAACAUAAACCCAGCAAAUCCAAGAGAAGACCUGCAGCUUCUGUUUCUGCUUCUUUUUGCAGCUUCUUUUUAACCAUACAUGCACUGAAAGUACUUCCCCUCUAGCAGCUUGCUUAAUGAAUAGUUUCAGAAUUACAUCCGUACCCAUGGAACCUCACAAUAAUCUUAUGCAGCACCAGAAACACAUCCAUUUGAUUUUUUUUUUUUAGUUAAUAUGUUUGUUUUACUGAAUUUAAACACCUAACAGGAAGUAAAACUUGCUUCACUAUCUCUUUAUGCAAUUUCAACUAGUAAUAGAAAUUCCCUCAGAUUCCCACACCUGAUCUUUACAAGCUUUGCAAAAGUAACAACGGAAAAAACAAAAAUUAUGGGCCCACAAGAAGAACUACCAUUCCCUUAGUUUGUUAACCUGCAAAUGUUUGUCAUCAGAUCCAAAAAAAAUCACACUUCAGGAGAGAAAAACUGUCAAAUAUUACUUCCAUUGCAAAGUGUAAGAAAUUUUUCAUGGACUAAAUUAGUUAAAUUUAAAGUUUGUUGUACUUUUA